rnacentral:lncRNA from 1 species
CUUCCACAUCAGGCAAAUCCCAGAUGGACUUCUCUGGCAAUCGGAUUUCUACCGAACUUCACCAAUAGAAAGUCUCCAUCCGAGCUUCUACAGCAGAUGACUCUCGCCUGUAGCAUCAGCGCCCAAGGCAUCCGAUAAUAGUGGACUCAUCAGCAAUCUCGAAAACAUCUGAGCUUCUCCUGGAUUGCUGAGAUAGAGAGAGGCAUUCCGCUCCAUCAGAUGUCCCAACUGAGCUUCAGCCGUCAGGCCUGAACUCUCUGGCAAGUCACGACAAUGGCCACUAUCCUGCUCUACUCUCUGUAACGGAUUUCACAUGGCUCCAUCAUUCUCUGGCAAGUCGUGACAAUGAACACCACUCCAGUCUCUAUAACAAACUCCAUGUGGCCCUAAACGGCCCCCUGACGCCACUACUCUCUGUAACAAACUAUGCGUAGCCCCGAACGGCCCACUACCAGGUGGUUACAAACAUCGCUGUCAAUCAGUUACGCUCUCCAUCUAUAAAAAGGGACCGCCAGAUACGUUCUUCUCUAAGUUCUAAACUCUAUCUCAAAACUCUGCUAAAAUUUUUAUUCGAGUGCUCCAUUUCUGUUGAGGCAGAGUACUAACUUGAGCAUCGGAGGAUCUUGCCGGAGCAACCCCAACUCCGGUUUAGACUUUCCUUGUAGGUCCCGACAGUGGAUGCAAUCUCCUCGACUCCAGCUUCUCCGAUGUCGGCAGAAUUCUAUACUAACAUACUUUAUAUUGAUUAUAUGAAGAAAAGAAAGAGAGAGGAUGUGAAUGUCACAUAUCUCUGGCACUGCCGACUUAACCAUAUAAAUGAGUCAAGAAUUAACAAGUUAUACAAAGAUAAAUUCUUUGAUCCUUAUGACUAUGAAUCAUAUGGAAUUUGUGAAUCUUAUCUCAUAGAGAAAAUGAUCAAGACUCUAUUUACUAGAUAUGG